GGCUUAGAGUUUGAUCAUGGCUCAGGACGAACGCUGGCGGCGUGCCUAAUACAUGCAAGUCGAACGAAACUUUCUUACACCGAAUGCUUACAUUCACCGUAAGAAGUUGAGUGGCGGACGGGUGAGUAACACGUGGGUAACCUGCCUAAAAGAAGGGGAUAACACUUGGAAACAGAUGCUAAUACCGUAUAUCUCUAAGGAUCGCAUGAUCCUUAGAUGAAAGAUGGUUCUGCUAUCGCUUUUAGAUGGACCCGCGGCGUAUUAACUAGUUGGUGGGGUAACGGCCUACCAAGGUGAUGAUACGUAGCCGAACUGAGAGGUUGAUCGGCCACAUUGGGACUGAGACACGGCCCAAACUCCUACGGGAGGCAGCAGUAGGGAAUCUUCCACAAUGGACGCAAGUCUGAUGGAGCAACGCCGCGUGAGUGAAGAAGGUCUUCGGAUCGUAAAACUCUGUUGUUAGAGAAGAACACGAGUGAGAGUAACUGUUCAUUCGAUGACGGUAUCUAACCAGCAAGUCACGGCUAACUACGUGCCAGCAGCCGCGGUAAUACGUAGGUGGCAAGCGUUGUCCGGAUUUAUUGGGCGUAAAGGGAACGCAGGCGGUCUUUUAAGUCUGAUGUGAAAGCCUUCGGCUUAACCGGAGUAGUGCAUUGGAAACUGGAAGACUUGAGUGCAGAAGAGGAGAGUGGAACUCCAUGUGUAGCGGUGAAAUGCGUAGAUAUAUGGAAGAACACCAGUGGCGAAAGCGGCUCUCUGGUCUGUAACUGACGCUGAGGUUCGAAAGCGUGGGUAGCAAACAGGAUUAGAUACCCUGGUAGUCCACGCCGUAAACGAUGAAUGCUAGUGGUUGGAGGGUUUCCGCCCUUCAGU
rnacentral:rRNA from 1 species